GUAAGGUAUGUAGGUUGUUAAUUAAGUUUUAUUGUUAAUUCAAUGAGCUUAACUCUUGCAAAGCAAUUUAAUACUGAUUAACUUUGAGUAUGUAAGAGGAUAGUGGGAUUCUUAGUGGAAAGUAAAAUUUUAUGAUAUUAAGAAGACGAACCAGCGAAGGCGACUAUCCAUUACAUUACUGACACUGAAAUACAAAAGUAUAGGGAGUAAAGAGGAUUAGAUACCCUCGUAAUCUAUACCGUGACCUAUGAGUAUUGAAAUUGGGAUAUUAAUUCUAUUUUCCAGCUAACGCGUAAAUACUCCGCCUGGGGACUAAGGUCGCAAGAUUAAAACUCAAAGAAAUUGACGGAGAUUUGACCAAGUAGUGGAGCAUGUGGUUUAAUCCGAUAGUCCGCGUAAAAUCUUACCAAUUCUAGUUUAUAUGUUUUAAUAUAUAAAUAUAUUAAAUUAAAUUUAAAUUAAUUUUAGUAAUUAAUUAAAUAACAUAUAAUCAGGUGUUGCAUGGCUGUCGUCAGUUCGUGUUGUGAAAUAUUUGAUUAAUUUCAAAAACGGGCA
rnacentral:rRNA from 1 species